rnacentral:tRNA from 1 species
CUCCGCUUGGUGUAGUUGGUUUAUCACGUUCGGCUGUAAUUGCAUUAUGCUACCGAAAGGUCCCUAGUUCGAUUCUGGGAGCGGAGA